rnacentral:rRNA from 1 species
GACGAACGCUGGCGGCGUGCUUAACACAUGCAAGUCGAACGGAAAGGCCGUGCUUUGGUGGGGUGCUCGAGUGGCGAACGGGUGAGUAACACGUGAGUAACCUGCCCUUGACUUUGGGAUAACUUCAGGAAACUUGGGCUCAUACCGGGUAGGAGCUCCUGCUGCAUGGUGGGGGUUGGAAAGUUUCGGCGGUUGGGGAUGGACUCGCGGCUUAUCAGCUUGUUGGUGGGGUAGUGGCUUACCAAGGCUUUGACGGGUAGCAGGCCUGAGAGGGUGACCGGCCACAUUGGGACUGAGAUACGGCACAGACUCCUACGGGAGGCAGCAGUGGGGAAUAUUGCACAAUGGGCGGAAGCCUGAUGCAGCAACGCCGCGUGCGGGAUGACGGCCUUCGGGUUGGAAACCGAUUUCGCCUGUGAUGAAGCGUUAGUGACGGUAAUGGGUAAAGAAGCACCGGCUAACUACGUG